rnacentral:rRNA from 1 species
CCCCCCUCGAGGUCGACGGUAUCGAUAAGCUUGAUAUCGAAUUCCUGCAGCCCGGGGGAUCCGCCCUGGGAAUUGCAUUGGAGACUGCAAGGCUAGAAUCUGGCAGAGGGGGGUAGAAUUCCACGUGUAGCAGUGAAAUGCGUAGAUAUGUGGAGGAACACCGAUGGCGAAGGCAGCCCCCUGGGUCAAGAUUGACGCUYAUGCACGAAAGCGUGGGGAGCAAACAGGAUUAGAUACCCUGGUAGUCCACGCCCUAAACGAUGUCUACUAGUUGUCGGGUCUUAAUUGACUUGGUAACGCACKAACGCGUGAAGUAGACCGC